rnacentral:rRNA from 1 species
CCCUUAGACGUUCUGGGCCGCACGCGCGCUACACUGACCAGUGCAACAAGCAUCCGUCCUUGGCCGACAGGCCCGGGCAAUCUUUGAACGCUGGUCGUGAUGGGGAUAGACUUUUGCAAUUUUUGGUCUUCAACGAGGAAUUCCUAGUAAACGCAAGUCAUCAACUUGCAUUGAUUACGUCCCUGCCCUUUGUACACACCGCCCGUCGCACCUACCGAUUGAAUGGUCCGGUGAAGCCUCCGGAUUGGCGCGCACCUCGGUGCCGCCGAGAAGUUGGCUAAACCUUACAAUUUAGAGGAAGGUGAAGUCGUAACA